GGUGGGGUUUGGGCGCGGGGGGCAUUGGCAGGCUGCACUGCUUGCAUGGGUUACCUGAGCAUUCUGGCACUGCCCAUAGAUUGAAUUUCAUGGGCACUGGUUUGAUCCAACGCUGCUGCGAAACAUAUCUUUCAAAUUAGGUUGUUUUUUAAUAUUGUUAUUGGUGUUUAAUAUGAAUUUUCAUAAUUUGAAAUGGAAUGUGACGUUGUUUAACUGGAUGCUAGCAAACAUGCAUGGACAGGAUUCCACCCCACUGGUCUCCAAUGCUCUGUACGGUCAGUGUAGUUUCAGAUGCUUCUGAAGAAUACCAAACGAGGCUAAAGCCUGUUUUCAAUCAACCAAUGUCCUUCAUUUUGAUUCACGGUUAAAUGAGUUUGUAUUAAAAUGUGUUUUCACUGAAAGAAAAGUAAAAGCGAUAAAGCUGAUAACAAAUGGCUCCUGACAGGAGUCAAAAUUGGACAGAAAUCGAUUGGGGACAGAUGAUUAUGGAAAUGUUCAAACUGGUGCUUUACAGUCUGUUCCCAUUACCGGUGUAGCAUCAUUUUGUGUUACCUGUCUAUUCAUACACCAAGACAAAAUUAGCAUGCUUGCCCAGUGCUUUUUCAGAAUCAUUUGCUACGGCUACUAACUCUCAAGGCUAACCUCAAUGUUUUCUGGAUUGUUACAUUAUUAAAGAAAGGCAUUAAAGAGGCACCAAAUUAAUAUGACUACAGUGUUUCUGAACAAGAAUACAGUUUGAAUGUUUUCUUGUUGAUGAUUUCCUAUUGUAUACACCAUGGGGGAAAUCAUUGAGGAAAAUUAGUUUUUAAUAUGGCAUAAAUUUCAUGGUGCAAAAAUAAUGCUACACCAGUGUCUAUAUACAGCAUACUGUAUGUAACAUACAGUCUAUAUAGUACACACACAUACCCACAUGCAUAGACUUGCAUAAAGUAUGCAUUGUGUGGAUUGUUUUCUUUAUAGAGUAAAUAAAAUAGAAUUUUUGGUUAUUGAAAUGUCAUUUGUUUUGAAGUAACAGUUAUAUUAACUUGCCGAGAUAUUCAUUGCUGAGAUUUGUUUAUUCUUAUUUAUGUUGUAUGUUCUCAUAUUUAUUUUUGUUUACAUGGCAAAAAAAUGUAGGCAUCCUUUACUGAAUUGAUUCUACAACAGAUCAAGGUGCUUUAACAUGAACAUGAUAAUGUGUUUUGGAUGCGACAGUUUGCCUUUGAAAGUGAGUGGUGCUGUCCUUUAAGUUGCUGUAUAGACUUAUUCAGUGUGCCUCAUCUACUGUAUGUUACUUUUUUUUGGUCACACUUUAUACACAGUUUAUCGUUUCCCUAUGAAGCAGGCAUUACACCUUCAUUUAAAUUCCAUAAUGUCGUGAAUCAUUCCUAAGCAUACACAGUGCUUUACAAAGGAUGAAUUAGCACACGCAGUAUGAAAUUCCGUUCCCAAAAUUUACACAGCGCACUAUGUCACAUGACAUCACAAAUGCUUAUGAGUGAUUUAUAAAGGUGUUAUGUUGUGGUAAUGCAUUUUAAUGCUUUUUGAAGUCUUUAUGAGAAUAUGCUGAAUAGCAUAUAAAUACAUAAUAUACUGUAUGCCCAGACUGCACACUGAGCGCAGCUACGUGUGGCUGACAUAGGGGCUCUGUUGCGCUCUGUCUGUGGGAAGGUGGUUAGCCCAUUGGGAAGCGCAUUUGCGCUACUCUGCUACGGAAUCAUAUUUGUGUCAAAAGUAUCAAACAAAACAUCCUCUCAAGUAUCGAAAAAAGCAGAUAGAGAAUAGAAAAAAGCUUGCAAUGUGUUUUCCUUUUUCUUCCAAAAACGAGUGUUACGUUAUGUUUUACUCUUGAAAUCAAUAUUUGUAUUUGCUGAUUUUUUCUUUGCUCUCAAUCAGAAAUGUUCCACUUAAUGCUAUGUCAAAUCUGUGUCAAAUGAAUUUUUUUUUUUUUUAUUUAUUUAUUUAUUUUUUUUGAUACUUUUGACACAAAUUUGAUUCCAUAGCAGGGCAGCGGUAAGCAAUGUAGCCGCAACAUUUUCCCAAAAUUACCUCCACGCAACACAAUGCGUGACAAAGCAUCAGCCCUGCACCAGCCAUGUGUAGCUGUGCUGUCUGGGGAUAUAUAUACACAAAUAUAAAAUGUAAAGUAUGAUGCAUUUUUUUUUUUUAAUCUGGUUUUUUUAUUUGCAGAGAAAUGGCUAGUCAUACCAAUAAGUAACUGCCUUUCAGCCUUCUGUAUGUUUCACUCACGAGUCCGAAGGAGAUGCCAAAUCCACUCAGGCUUUCUUAGGAGAGGCCUGCUUGCCUUGAUGUUUGGUAAAGGGGUUCUGUAGGCAAGGCACAUUAAUGACGGAGGUGCCGUCUCGUUCGAUCGAGCGUUCCUGUCAGCAGUGCCUUUUUUGCUGCCGUGAAAUUGUGAACAACAAUAAAAGGCCACCCGAUUCCGAAAGGGCUGGAUGUCUCUUGAUGUCGUGUUGUUUCGCUUCCUGUUUGUGGUCGUGUCCCGUUCUCUUUCUUCCCUUAAGGUUUACAGUAGCUGGCUCGAGGGUCAGUGUGUGUAGAGAAUCCUUUUAGAAAGAUGGGAAAAAUGACAGUGUGAUUCAUGUCGAAUGCCAUUUUGUGAGCUCACGGUAGACGGGUGGGGUGAGUCAAUUUUGGGCUAAGUGUUCCUUGGCUUAUCACGCAUAGGCUUAGUGUAGUUUUUUUGACAAGAAGUCAUCCAUUAAAUAGUCUCUCAGAGCAAAUUAUGGACCCACCCUUUGUUGGUGCUGUGUGAUUCAGACCUGGAAACUCACCUGGGUCUAUGGUAAAUGAACUGUCGCCUGCGAACGUUGUUUUGAUGUUUUGCUGAAAAGGCUAUGGAGUUAAUCUCAUCACAGUCUUUCUGAGUGGAUGGAAUUGGGCUCCAGUGUAAGGCAUUUGCCAUAAUUUACUUGACGGCUGGAUCACAGCACAUUUGUGUAAGACUGCACUAGUUUCAACGUUACUGUACAUCUAUGUGUUGUAAUGAAGGAAACUGUUGAACAUGGUUUUUAUAAUGAACACUUUGGCAUUUGGUGGAUGUACUGAGCACAUGCAGUAUCUGUCUCUACUUUCUUCUCUAUGUCACUUUAGUACCUAGGAUCUGUAAAAAUAUUCCACUUGCAAAAGAGCAUUUCCUAUUGCCACAUUUAGUAAAUACAGAAUUGCAGAGAGUCUACAUCAAGGCACAUGUAACAAGUAGUAUGUAAACUUGUCUGGUGUGGUCUUUGCAUUACGCUGUGGCCUCUCCGAUUUAAUUAUUCUGCACUUUGAGGAACACAUUUAGUUCUUGCUGUGAUUCACAAAAAAAGAGAAAAAAUAUAGCUGUUCGAACAGUUUGGUAGUUUGUUUAAUCUAAGGCUCUGUGCUAUUCAUGUUUUGCCCUUUUCCUAUGAAGAUCAUGUGAUUUGGAGAUGGAGUUAUAAUUUGCUGAUUUGGAAAAGGAUUCUGUAGCCAUUUACAUGAGAUGGCAAUUAAAGUCAGGCCUAGAUGUAUUGAUGGUCUGUCCUUAUAACUAGUGUUACAUUUUUAAUUGCAGCUGAAUGACUGUUGGCCAUUUCUGAAAUGGAGAUAUGAAAUCUGUAGCAUAAGAUUUGGAAAAAGACUGCCUAUUUAACUAACUGUGCUUUAAAAUGCUAUAUUUCACAGAUACAUGUCCUUCAAAAAUAUAAUUAUUAUAGAUCAAAUUAUUCAAUGUUUACCUGAGGUAGUAGGUUUAAAAAAUAUAUAAAUAUAUAUGUAAAUAUUAUAAAUAUAUAAAUAAUCAAUAAACCAAAUAAAACUAUUUUGGGUGAAUUUGGGACUUGUGAGUUGUUGAUGUUUUGUGUUCUAUAUUGAUGCUAAGGUACAGUAGUGCUUGCAGGUCAAUUUAAUGGAGUACUAUAUGUUUAUUUAUUUAUAUUAUAUAUACUGUAUUACAUUAUUUAUAGCAAGAUUAAUGGGAUUAGGUAUUAAAAUAUAGUUUAGACUGGCAUGACAACUGUGAUGAGGUUCCAGAAGGAUACUGUUUAAAAGUAGGGAGUUUCUUGUGAGCCAGUCCAAGGCACUAAAAUUAACUGGCUAGCAAUAUCUAUAAAGAGAGCUUCACUCCCUUCAUAAGCACUGCACAGUAUUUUCAUAUGCACAGUAUGAACAAUCAAACUUAUAAACUGAUAAACACGUAUACAAAACACAAGAGUGCGUUCUAUCACCAUGCAGACCUGAACAUUGAUAUUAGAGUGUUACAGGGUAUUGAUUAAUUGCACUUAAUACGGUGUACUUCUCUCUUUUUUGUAUUCUUACUGUCAUUCAUUUUUAUUACUGUCACGGAAAUGUGCAGAACUUGAAUAACCCUGGAGGCAUAAUGUUGUUUUGCAGUGCUAGUUUUCAGGCAGACCUAUGUUCAUUAAAUGUAAAUAUUGUACAGCAAAGCAGUUACUUGCAUGGUUUGAGUUUUAGGAUAUGCUUACCAAUGAAAAACAAAAUUGUGAGGAUUCAAUAGAUUCAAUUCAUCUCAUGUGCUAAAGGAAAAAGAACAUUCAUGAGUCUACACAUGGCUAAGUCUGUCCCAUUUGGAUUUACUUUUAACCAGUAGGGGGAGACAAAGAAAAAAUAGAUUGCCUAUAUAGAUAGCCAGACUGGUAGAGUGUCUCUUCAAUCGAAAAACUAAACAGACAGAAUUAACGCUUUUUGAGCACAGUAUAGAAAAUAACUAGAAUCUAAAUUCUCCCAAUCUGUGUGCGUAAUCACCCCCAGUUUAACUGAGUCAAUGAUUCUCUCAUUCUCCUCCUCCCCCUUCACUGAAAAGAGUGAGAUGAAAGGCGCAACAGAAAGCAGUCCAUUGCCACUGUUAUUAUUUAAAAUUAUUUAAAAUAUACAGAAAUAGCUGCAAAAGAAACUUUUUUUUUGCAUCGAACUGAAGCUUGAAUAGGAUUUUUCUUGGGUUUUACUAUUCCCCGAUAUGACUAAACGGUUACGCUAAAAUAGGGCCUUGUGUCAGAUUCAUUGCUCCUUUGUAAAUAUGUGUUUCAUGGUGUCAUGCGGCCAUGUAUAUGUGAAUAUGAUAACCUGGGUAUCACAAAUCUUAAUAUUUCGUCUGUGACAUUAUAUCCUGCCUCUUAUGCUUUGUACUAUAAGUCAGUUAUUUCAAACUGUCUUGGAUUACCAUGCAAGUUUAUAACUGAAAUAUAAAGGUUUUGGUCAUUAUUUUGAGCCUUAUUCAUGAUUCAUAGCACCCAUUUCAAGUAAAGUGUGACCAUGUAAAUCUGUGUCUACACAAGCGCACUGUGCUGUCCAUGCCCCUGGUAGAUUAGGAAAACAGAAUUAAUUUAAGAAUCUAAAGAAUGUUUCACAGGAAAGGAGAACUUUACAUUUAUGCAUAUUCACAUGAACAAGAAACUAUUACAUAUAUAAUAUUUGUGUUUUACUGUAGAUGGUAUGACCAAGCCGGAAUUAAUUCUGGGAAAUUAUUUAGCUUUUUUUAAUGGCUGUGAACAUCAUCUGUUUGACUGCACCUUUAUUGCAUAACAUCAGAUCGCACAUUGUACAGUAGUAAUUGAUGUGAUGGAACAGGUUUGAGGCUGAAACACUAACUGAUUUCUCACUCUAUAGUGUAAUAUACAAUAGCACCUCUGCAGGUAUUACAUAUUCACCUGAACACCAAACAGUAUCACUGCCUGGCACUACGCUCGAUAUGUGCCUUCUAAUUCUGUUUCAGAACCCAUCAGUGGCUGCUUCCUCUUUUGAUCUAAAGAUAGUAGUUUCUUGGCUGUUGGGAAAAAAAAGAGAAAAUCACAGUGCUUAUAAGGAAUAUUUGCUAAUUAUGUGUCCUUGUAUGAGUUUAUUCAUUUUAUGUUUUUAGUGAAUUCAAGAUUAAUGGAUUAACUUUGGAUCGCAGAUGACCAAGGUUUUUUUAAAGUCUAUAUUGAUUGAUACCAAUAUUGUAUAGUUCAGGCUUGUUCUGUGCGCUUCACUGUUGAUGUUAAACUAUACCGACAGGGUCCUGGUGAUGUCAUAGCUUAGACCUUUCAAACUGAUAUUGGUGAUGUGAAAGCUGCACAUCUUGGAUGUUAAAUUAUGAAUAUUUAUUUAAGAUAUUAACCCUAUGUUGUGGAAGAAGGCUGAAAUGAAAAAAAUGAACUGAAAUUACAUGAGGAUGCAUGUUUUUGCAGUGCUAUUGACAUAUAAUGACUCUUUAUAGUGUUAUUAUUGACUGUUCACGGGUAUGUGAGUAAACAUGGAUCACAUGAUCACCUCACCUCAUGUUAUCUCUUAAAACAUAGUAUAUUUCCGAUUUGUAAGUAUUUAGCAGAUUUGAAAAAUGUUCCUGUUUCUCAUGUAUACAAUUCAAUGCUUAUACAUUAGACUCUACAAUAUGCAGUACAUAACCAAAUAAUGUGUUCUGCAGUAUAUGCAAAUCAAGCAUACAGAAUUUUACUGUAUGCUUUGGUAUGCAUUUUCUUAUACAUACAGUGUAUUUGGUUAGUUUUUUUUUUUGUCAUGUCAUUAGUUUUGUGAUAUAAGAAGAUAUUUUUGUACAAGCCUUUGUACAAAAUGUUGUACAUUGCUACUGCUAUGUAUAGAUGUCAUGGGAAACAUGUUAUGUAGCAGAAUGUGCAAUGUAUCUAAUCUGUUAAAACAUAUAAGGUGUGUGUACAUAUAGGUCAUCAUUUCUAUAAAAUAUAUUUUUCUAAGUUUCUUUGUUUAAACCUGCACAUAAUACGGCAUAAAUAUUGAUUGUGUGUGUAUGCAUGUGUGUGUGCACGUGUGCGUAUGUUUUAUGAUUACCUAAAUGGCACUAAUUUGUUUUUGAUAUUCAAUAUCAAAUAUAAAAAAUUACUCUUGUCUUCAUUUAGAUGAUAACUGAAUUACACUUACAUUUUCCCCUGUACAGUCAUGUUUCAAUUUACCUGGGGGAAAAUUGCACAACAAAGUAAGUUUAGAUUAUAGGUACAAAUAAUUAAUAUUAGAUUUUGUGUGAUUUCCAUCUCAAUUCUAAAGUUCAAACUUCAAUAAUGGUGAUUUAAUAGAAAUAAUUUAAUUUGGAUCUGGUGGUUAUAUCAUAAAAAUAAAUAUUGUCUUACCAAAUGGACAGAUCAGUAUUCAUGUGCAGAUUUGCAAAUCACUAAUAAUACACUGAGAUAAAAUGUUUUUGUUAGCUUGCUGAAGGAGUGCAGGGAUGUCUUGAGGUUCAGAUGAUCCUCAAGAACACUAAGAUUCUAUCUCUUUUUACUCCAGUUUGUUUAAUAUUGCUAGUUUGCUACAUGCAAAGCACCUGUAGCAUCAAGAGGGAUUUAUACUCAUUAUUUUGGUUAUUCCACUUAUCUCUCAUGAGGUAAUGGAAGAGAUUCCUGUGAAAAAUAAUUUGUGAUUUUCAAUUGUAUGAUUGAACACAAUUUGACACAAUUAUCGUUGUAGUUUGAUCCACAAAAAAAACCCCAUAUAUUUACAUUCAGGAAAUACAGCAGAUAUGCUGCACAAUGUGAUCCGCAGGAGACUGUAAGAUGUAGUGACAUGGUAUGAAUAGCCAAGCCCUGCCUAUUGGCUGUGUUUUUAUUUGGUAAGAUAAAAUGAAGUAAGAAUUGCAGUCUAUGAACUUAUGCUAAUGAUUGUAAUAUCAAUGGCCAGCAGUGAUGACUGUGAGUUUACCUUUGAUCUCCACUUAGUAUUACCUUCAGAGGAGUGGCUUUUUGGCACUGACUUGGUGUAACAGAGUUUGAAACCUAAAUCUGUAUUCCUCACGUCCGCUGACUGUAUAGUUAGGUCAGUUUUUGGUCUGUGUGUGUGUGUGUGUAAUCUAUAUUUACAGUAAAGCUGCUUGAAAAAAAAAUACACUGGGGUAUUUUUGGGGUAUUUGAAGCUCAUGACACUAUUAUACAGUAGGAAAGAAAAUGACAAUUUUGCUGAAGUUUUGGUUGGCUUUGUGUUUUUUUUAAGUCUGAAAUUGCCCUACUGUAGGGACAAUGCCUCAGAAUACAUCCAAUGUAAUGCAUCUCAUGUUUACAUGAAGUACAGACCUACAGUAAUGAUGAUGUGCAGUAAUAUUGAGCCCUGCUAUUGCUUUGUACACUUAAUUACUUGGUGCUACUGUAUGUCUUUUCAGAGUCUUUUUUGGUGCUCCUGAUCAAUGAGUUAAUACGUCGACUGCACUCUGUUUGAAACUGCACUGCGCCUGUUGUAUUUAGCUCUGUAAAAGGCACAUUAAGUGUGCAGGCAAUAACCCGUAUGCUGGUGCUGCACUUAGUGCUCCGUGUAACUGCAAUGGAAGUACGGCAACCAGGAUGCCACCAGAGGAUAUUUUGUAGAUAGUUAAAUUAAGGUUUUGGUCAGCGAGUGUUCAAGUUUUUUUCCUGUCUUUUACAAAAUACAGAUUUGUUUAAGUUCGAAGGAAUUAGACAAAUGCAAUUAGAUUGAACCUGACCUAGUUGUAAUGUUAAUCCGCCAAGGGUGGGGAUGGGAUUCAUGAAAUGUCUUUUUUUUUAAUUUUGUCUUGAAAGUUGGUGGACUGCAUCCAUGUACAUCUUGUCACCUUUUAACUGAAGAAGCUGUUCAGAUGUACUGUUGAAUAUUAACAGUAAAACUGUUCUAUUCGUUAAAUUAUUUAAAAGGAUUGAAAAUUUAAUACUGAGUCUCUUACUGAGUAAUUUUUUUUACCAUUUUUUUUUUGAAAAAAAAAAAAGAUUGAGAGACAUUAUUCUCUUGACAUGUCCAGGUAUAUAAUAAUAUUAUACUAUAUACUGGCAGAUAAUAUUUACCCAUAAACAAAUAAAAAUAAUAAGGUGUUGUACCAAAGCCUGUAACAUGACAUUAUUUUGUUUCUCAUUUUUUUGCCAGUAAUCAGAAGUCAUUUGACUACACUUCCCAGUUACAUGCAUUACAUCCCUUAUUUUAUGUUCGAUCUGACUGAUGCUCCUACAGGAAACCAUGGGGAGAAGGAACAGCAGUUCCACAGUGUCUGACUCAGAGUGAUUAACAUUUAUUUGAUAGAAUGUAUUGUAUGUGAUUUGUUUUCUUGUCUAUAAUAAUGCUUUCUCUUAUAACUAUAACUAUAUGUAUAUAAAUAACUAUAUGUGUAUAUACGCUCCCCUCUUUUCAUCAUUUUUUCAUCAUUUUUAUUUCAACUUUCUUUAUAUUAGGGUAUAUUAAAAUAAAUGGAUACGGUAAAUAAUAAAAAUUCUAAUUUCAUAAUUUUAUUGAGAAACAGCAAGAGCAGCAUAUAUAUAUACCAUACAUAGAAGAUAAUAGAAGAUAAUACUUGCAUUCUUAUUUUGACAAUGAGUCUUCAUUUAUUUAUUGUAUUAGUUACUUUCAUUCAUGUCAACAUUGAUGAAAAAAGAUUUUGAAUUUUGAUAUGGAUUUUUUCUUUUUUUUCUUGGUUUGGUCAUUUUGGCAAGCAUAUACACAAACAUGAAAAACGAAAACAAAGACAUGGUCAGUGGUCUGAAAGGAUCUGAAAGUAGAGACUGGAACAGAAUGUGUUGACGUUGUAGCUGGAGUGUUAUGUCAGUCAGGGGUUUGAUUGUACAAAUAUUGAUGUGUUUUAUGUCCUGAGUGGCUGACAUUCACUGACAUUGUGUAGCCAUGGAAACAGCCAGCUAUGUUGUGAAAAUGGCCACAGUAUCACAUAGUCUGGGCCAGAUUUACUAAGCUGAGGUUUUCAGAUGCUAAAAAAGAUCCAAUGUAACAUGCGACUGCUUUAGAAAUGUUUUGUAUUUUGAGAUAAUAAAAUUCCACCCAAAAACUGUA